GGGAUCCCUUCUUAUAGACGGAGAGCAUAACUGAUUGACAGUGACGUCUGUAAUCGCCUGGUAAUGGACUGUUCAGAGCCACGCGGAGUUUGUUAUGAAGAGUAGUGGCGUCAGAGGCUAUUCAGGGCCACGUGGAAUUUGUUACGGAGAGUGGAGUGGUGUCUGUUGUCGUGACUUGCCAGGGAGUGGAGUAAGAUAGUGGCCCUUGUCGUGGCUUGCCAGAGAGUAGUGGAGUAAGGUAGUGGCCCUUGUCGAGGCUUGCCAGAGAGUAGUGGAGCCACAUAGAAUCCGUUACAAAGUGUGGGAUAAGGCAGCAGCCAUUGUCGCGACUUGUCAGAGAGUUCGGAUUUGUCGGUUGGAGCUCAGUUGGGAUGUCUGAUGGAGCAGAAUGGCUCUCUAUCUCAUCGAUCUAGGAGAAGCUCGGAUGUUUUCGAGAUUGC
rnacentral:lncRNA from 1 species